GAGAUAGUAGUAUAAGGAGUAUAUUUUAUUUUCGUUAGAGGGGUUGUUAUCUUUUAA
rnacentral:tRNA from 1 species